rnacentral:rRNA from 1 species
UACGUAGGGGGGCUAGCGUUGUCCGGAUUUAUUGGGCGUAAAGAGCGUGUAGGCGGUUAGGUAGGUCCGUUGUGAAAACUCGAGGCUCAACCUCGAGACGCCGAUGGAAACCAUCUGACUAGAGUCCGGAAGAGGAGAGUGGAAUUCCUGGUGUAGCGGUGAAAUGCGCAGAUAUCAGGAAGAACACCCGUGGCUAAGGCGGCUCUCUAGUACGGUACUGACGCUGAGACGCGAAAGCGUGGGGAGCGAACAGG